GCGGGUGUGGCGGAAACGGUAGACGCACGACUCUUAAAAAGUCGGGCUUUGCAGCGUGUGGGUUCGAGUCCCACCACCCGCA
rnacentral:tRNA from 1 species